AUACCGCUGAGUGAUUUCGGAAUAGGAAGUUAUUCCUUGAAUAUUCAGGUGAUAUGCAACGCUAAUCUGAAGAUCAUGGUUAUUGUAGCGUGAUAUGAUGGAAGUACUCAUGACUCCAAAAUAUUUUGAGAGUCUAAAAGAAGAGCUUUGUUUUAGCAAGGAGUAUAUACGGGGAUGCAGUACUAUCUGCUAGUUAUAUGAUGACUCCUCUUCAAUAUUGCCUAACACCAGCAGAAUAGCUGUACAAUGAGUCAAAUUAGAACCAGAAAUGUCAUUGAAAGGUUUUUUGGCGUUUGGUUACGUCGUUUUCCUGUGAUGACUUCGGGUUUAAGAGUGAAACUAAUGCAAGUUUUCCCUAUAGUUACUGCAACAUUAGGGUUAAAUAACAUUGCCUUAAGAUCUGGAGGAAAAGUCUCCAGUGGCUUUGAAAUAACACUAUCAGUUCUAUGGGAAGAAUUACUAGCCUAGGACGAUAUCCUAUUUAAUUAUAUUCAAACCAAAGGGUAACGCAGCUAAAUAGUGGGCGACAUCAUGUGGGUCAAAUUCAUCUGAGUUGUGUGAAAUCCAUUUUAAAGAAGGACAAUUCGAACAAAAUCAUCUGGAUGGUGUAAAAAACUCAAACCAACAUUAUUCGAUAUAUCAAAACCACCUCGCUUGUUGGAAACCGAAAGGAAGAGCUAUGUCGAAACUGUAUUUUAUCUUAAAGUGGUUUGUCGGAAAAAUAAUGCAUCGGAAAGUAUUUUGUCAGAAUUGUAUUUUGUCUCCACCGAAAGAAAAUCUUAGUAUAUGGUAUAUAUCAUUAUUAAAACAAAUUUAUUAUAGGUAAUUGAGUCCAAAGAUUCUGAAUUGGCUCAUUUUCACUCAAUAUUGCUACAAUAAAAGCAAGAAAUGUUUUUAAUCUAACAAGAAAACAAUAAUUUGAAAAGAAGACUUCAGGUAGAUAAUAACCAGUGUUACAAUAUAACAGGCAAUCAUUUUUCAAAACUAUUGAAGGAAAAAUAUAAAUUGUUAUCAUUACAAUAAGAAAAGAAAUUAUUGGAAACAAAAUUACAAACGGUCCAUGAAGCUUUGGGGUCUCUUGGAAACCGAAAAAGACGAAAACCUUUGCUACGUGUAUUUGAACAUUUUACAGCUGUACAACCGCCCAUUUCUUGGAGAAUUUUAUAGUUCAAUUCACAUGAUAUUUAAAAAUAUAUAUAUAUUUUAGAGUUAAGACCAUAUGUCCAUAAUAUCCAUUAUUCACUAUUCAGUUUUAAUGCAAAAGUUAAAAUAAAAACGUAUUCGCAAAAAUAAGCAAUUUCCGUUUAUGACGUUCAGCUGAAUCUGUUAUCUGUAUGUAUUAAUUGUUGCAAAAUGGCGGACGAUUAUACCCACAUUAAUAGUGCCUUACAAAUUUUUGAUCUGGAUAAAUUUAAUAGUUGAUAUCUACCUUUUUUAUAUUUUAACUCAACACUAAAGAAUAAUGUACAU